rnacentral:rRNA from 1 species
GACGAACGCUGGCGGCGUGCUUAACACAUGCAAGUCGAGCGGUAAGGCCCUUUCGGGGGUACGACGAGCGGCGAACGGGUGAGUAACACGUGGGUGACCUGCCCUCAGCUCUGGGAUAAGCCUGGGAAACUGGGUCUAAUACUGGAUAUGACUCCACGGUGCAUGUCGUGGGGUGGAAAGCCUUGUGCGGCUGAGGAUGGGCCCGCGGCCUAUCAGCUUGUUGGUGGGGUGAUGGCCUACCAAGGCGACGACGGGUAGCCGGCCUGAGAGGGCGACCGGCCACACUGGGACUGAGACACGGCCCAGACUCCUACGGGAGGGCAGCAGUGGGGAAUAUUGGACAAUGGGCGAAAGCCUGAUCCAGCCAUGCCGCGUGAGUGAUGAAGGCCUUAGGGUUGUAAAGCUCUUUUGGGUCGGGGACGAUAAUGACGGGUACCCGCAGAAUAAGUCCCGGCUAACUUCGUGCCAGCAGCCGCAGUAAC